CCGCUUUCGGGCGGUCACGUGGCGGACGGGUGAGGAACACGUGGGCGAUCUGCCCCGGGGCGGGGGAUAGCCCUCAGAAAUGAGGGAUAAUACCGCAUGCGCUUCCAUCGUUACGGCGGUGGAAGGAAAGGCGCAAGCCACCCUGGGAGGAGCCUGCGGCGGAUUAGCUAGUUGGGGGGGUAACGGCCUCCCAAGGCGAUGAUCCGUAGCUGGUCUGAGAGGACGGCCAGCCACAGGGGAACUGAGACACGGUCCCCACUCCUACGGGAGGCAGCAGCAAGGAAUUUUCCGCAAUGGGCGCAAGCCUGACGGAGCAACGCCGCGUGGGGGAUGACGCUUUUCGGAGUGUAAACCCCUUUUCUCAGGGAUGAAUACUGACAGUACCUGAGGAAGAAGGCCCGGCUAACUACGUGCCAGCAGCCGCGGUAAUACGUAGGGGUCGAGCGUUGUCCGGAGUUACUGGGCGUAAAGCGCGCGCAGGCGGCGCGGUAAGACCGGCGUGAAAGCCCCCGGCUCAACCGGGGAGGGUCGUUGGUGACUGCCGGGCUUGAAGGCAGCAGGGGUGAGUGGAAUUCCCGGUGUAGUGGUGAAAUGCGUAGAGAUCGGGAGGAACACCCGUGGCGAAGGCGGCUCACUGGGCUGACCUUGACGCU
rnacentral:rRNA from 1 species